rnacentral:misc_RNA from 1 species
GAAGAAGCAGGGGAAUCUCAAGUUUUCGAUUCGUUUGCAAAAAUGAAAGUCAACGACGAACAUGAAUCAAACCAAGCCGGUUUAGCCAGUGGAAUAGACAAAGCCGGAGAAGAUCAAAUCGAUUACGGGCAGAAAAUCUCAGACAUUGGUUCAGCAGUGAGUGGAAAAGCAGUGGCAGCGAAGGAUUUUGUGGCAUCAAAGCUGGGGUAUGGGGAAACAACACAGGAAUCCAACAACAAUUCGUCUUCGCCAUUAGAGUACGGAAGAAAGAUAGCUUUAACGGUAACUGAGAAGCUAAAGCCAGGGGAAGAAGACAAAGCACUGUCAGAAGUAAUUUCGGAGGCUUUCAAUAAAAGUAAGGAUGAGGUAGUCAAAGUUGGAG